ensembl:lncRNA
AUGCACUUCCGGGUUUCACCGGAUGUUCCUAAGGAAUAUUGCAGCGCCCGUUGAGUACACUAUCGGACUGUGGAAAAUGUGUGCUUUCUGUGACUGUAAGGUGCAGAUGUACACGUCCGUGGGAAAUCUUGUUGCUGUGCCUUACCCGUGGACCAUGAUGGAGCAAAGGAGAGCCUUAACUAUUCCAUUUACAGUGGACAAGGAUAAACUGAUGGAAAAUCCACUCAGAAUCCCCAUGACAUGUCUUUCAUCAGAGUAUGGGAAAUUAGAAAGACAGGUUUCCUGGACUGCGUUUGCAGAUUGCAAAUUCAGACAUCGCAAGUCGCCACAUAAAAACGGAUCCACAAAGUUUGAUCACAGCAAUGCAGCUAUGAUGGCACUGGAAAUGGAAA